UGGAGGAAGUGGUACUGAAGGUAAGGUAUGGAAGGAGGAUGGAGGAAGUGGUACUGAAGGUAAUGUAUGGAAGGAGGAUGGAGGAAGUGGUACUGAAGGUAAUGUAUGGAAGGAGGAGGGAGGAGGAUGGAGGAAGUGGUACUGAAGGUAAUGUAUGGAAGGAGGAGGAUGGAGGAAGUGGUACUGAAGGUAAUGUAUGGAAGGAGGAGGGGGAGGAUGAGGAAGUAGUACUGAAGGUAAUGUAUGGAAGGAGGAGG
ensembl:lncRNA